rnacentral:rRNA from 1 species
ACUCAAAGGAAUUGACGGGGGCCCGCACAAGCGGUGGAGCAUGUGGUUUAAUUCGAUGCAACGCGAAGAACCUUACCAGGUCUUGACAUCUGUAGAACCCUGUGGAAACAUGGGGGUGCCUUCGGGAGCUACAAGACAGGUGGUGCAUGGUUGUCGUCAGCUCGUGUCGUGAGAUGUUGGGUUAAGUCCCGCAACGAGCGCAACCCCUGCUAUUAGUUGCUAACAGGUAAAGCUGAGCACUCUAAUGGGACUGCCUGUGACAAGCAGGAGGAAGGUGGGGAUGACGUCAAAUCAUCAUGCCCUUUAUGACCUGGGCUACACACGUGCUACAAUGGAUAGUACAGAGAGCAGCGAAACCGUGAGGUCAAGCGAAUCUCAGAAAGCUAUUCUCAGUUCGGAUUGUAGUCUGCAACUCGACUACAUGAAGUCGGAAUCGCUAGUAAUCGCGAAUCAGAAUGUCGCGGUGAAUGCGUUCCCGGGCCUUGUACACACCGCCCGU